rnacentral:rRNA from 1 species
AACGAACGCUGGCGGCAUGCCUAACACAUGCAAGUCGAACGAGACCUUCGGGUCUAGUGGCGCACGGGUGCGUAACGCGUGGGAAUCUGCCCUUGGGUUCGGAAUAACAGUUGGAAACGACUGCUAAUACCGGAUGAUGACGUAAGUCCAAAGAUUUAUCGCCCAAGGAUGAGCCCGCGUAGGAUUAGCUAGUUGGUGAGGUAAAGGCUCACCAAGGCGACGAUCCUUAGCUGGUCUGAGAGGAUGAUCAGCCACACUGGGACUGAGACACGGCCCAGACUCCUACGGGAGGCAGCAGUGGGGAAUAUUGGACAAUGGGCGAAAGCCUGAUCCAGCAAUGCCGCGUGAGUGAUGAAGGCCUUAGGGUUGUAAAGCUCUUUUACCCGGGAUGAUAAUGACAGUACCGGGAGAAUAAGCUCCGGGCUAACUCCGUGCCAGCAGCCGCGGUAAU